rnacentral:rRNA from 1 species
UACGUAGGGUGCGAGCGUUGUCCGGAAUUAUUGGGCGUAAAGGGCUCGUAGGCGGUUUGUCGCGUCGGGAGUGAAAACCUCGGGCUUAACUCGGGGCUUGCUUUCGAUACGGGCAGACUGGAGGUAUGCAGGGGAGAACGGAAUUCCUGGUGUAGCGGUGAAAUGCGCAGAUAUCAGGAAGAACACCCGUGGCGAAGGCGGUUCUCUGGGACGGUACUGACGCUGAGACGCGAAAGCGUGGGGAGCGAACAGG